AAGUUCUUAAAUACUGCCUUCUAGUCUGACCUCAUCAGAUCUUAGAAACAAAGCAAGGUUGGGCAUGGUUAGUCUUAGGAUAGGAGGCUUCCAAAAAAAACCUGCUCUAAGUGACAUU
rnacentral:rRNA from 1 species